rnacentral:rRNA from 1 species
AUUGAACGCUGGCGGCAUGCCUUACACAUGCAAGUCGAACGGCAGCACGGGUGCUUGCACCUGGUGGCGAGUGGCGAACGGGUGAGUAAUACAUCGGAACAUGUCCUGUAGUGGGGGAUAGCCCGGCGAAAGCCGGAUUAAUACCGCAUACGAUCUACGGAUGAAAGCGGGGGACCUUCGGGCCUCGCGCUAUAGGGUUGGCCGAUGGCUGAUUAGCUAGUUGGUGGGGUAAAGGCCUACCAAGGCGACGAUCAGUAGCUGGUCUGAGAGGACGACCAGCAACACUGGGACUGAGACACGGCCCAGACUCCUACGGGAGGCAGCAGUGGGGAAUUUUGGACAAUGGGCGAAAGCCUGAUCCAGCAAUGCCGCGUGUGUGAAGAAGGCCUUCGGGUUGUAAAGCACUUUUGUCCGGAAAGAAAUCCUUGGCCCUAAUACGGUCGGGGGAUGACGGUACCGGAAGAAUAAGCACCGGCUAACUACGUG